CCUCCUCCCCGAUCCACACUCUGUCUCUCUCACUCUCCCCCUCAUCUUCCUCCCUCUCCAAUUCUCUCUCUCGGUUUGUCUCCCUAACUACCCAUGUUACCCAAACCUUAGCCCUCCUCCCCGAUCCACACUCUGCCCCUCUCUCUCUCUCUCUCUCUCUCUCUCAUCUUCCUCCCUCUCCAAUUCUCUCUCUCUCUGUCUCCCCAACUAUCCAUUAAUAUUUUGUCAAAGUUGAGGUGAAGUGAGACAAGUAUGAGUGAACAAUGGGUAAAGUGAGACAAAAUGAAUUUUAGGGGGCAAAGUUAGAGUCAAAUGCACUUUGAGGGGUAUGUCCAAAAAUAAUCCAAAUUUUAAACUAAAAAAAGAAAGGCGUUGCAGAAACCCGAUACAAUUUUUUUGGGGAACAAUCUGCAGUUCCGUUGGAAUUUGCAUGCUCCCCUGCCUGCCCAGUGGCCAGUGCUCAGUGCCCAAAUCUCAAAUCUCCCAACCAAAACCAAACCAAAUGUAGCCAAAGCCACCAACUCCAAUGGAUUUGUCAACCCUCCAACUCCAAAUCCAAUCAAAGAGACCACCGCCUCCCAGUGGCAGCUCCUCCUCCCGCAACGUCAACCGCCUUCCCUCCAAAUGCCUCAUCCCCUCCCUCUCUCUCCUCACCCUUCCCUUCCUCUUCUACCUCCUCUCCACCGCCCACAAGCUCCACCUUUCCCCCAAAUUCGCCCACUCCGAAUCCACCCUCUUCGGCGUCGUCGUCUCCGCGCGCCCCGCCGCCGUCCGCCUCCGCAUCUUCCACUUUCUCGAUGGCACCGCGCCCUCCAGCUCCACCUCCUCCCCCCAUGGCCUCUCUGCCUUCGCCGCCAACCCCGAUCGCGCUGGCGGGUCCCUCGUCCCUCUCCUCCGCUUCGCCAAGCUGCAGGUGCCCAAGAAGGAGCGAGGCAACACCAAGCUCCUCUUCUUUGCCGGCCCCGAGCUGGAUGCGUUGGGGCCUGAGGUCGCUGAGAAGCUUCUGGAAUCGUGUAGGAAGGUGCUGAGGUCGUCGGGGUUUUGGUUCAAGGACGAGUGGGCCCGGGUCAUUCCAGGUGAGGAACAAGGUGUUUAUGCUUGGGUGAGUGCCAACUAUGGUCUUGGAACAUUGCAGAGUGAGCCUCAGGAAACUACUGGGAUUGUUGAACUUGGUGGGACUUCUUUGCAGGUCACUUAUGCUGCAAAAGAAUCACUAGAAGUGAAUUCUUCUCCGUCUCGAAUUAUCAAAUUGUUUGGAGUUACUUACCACCUUUACAGUCAAGGCUUGCCGCUAUUUGGCCAGGAUGCAGCUUGGGAAUCACUGUAUGAGCUGCAGAAGUCUAGAGAAUUGACACCUUUUUCGAAUUCUAAGGAGAGAAGUCUUGGUAACCCUUGUAUUCCUAGAGGAUAUAAGCUGACAGUGAAUGCAAGUGAUACACAACUUCUGGUGUCCUCAAUGGGUGGAAACUUUUCUUCUUGCAAAUCUGAAGCUUUGUCAUUAUUAAAGAGAAGGCAAGACAAAUGCAUGCACGCACCUUGCAAAAUUGUCUCAUCCUUUCCUUUUGAGUUACGAGGCAAACCAGUUUCUACCAAGAACUUCUUAUUUACUUCUGAGCUUUUUGGGCUGGUUCCCACGGCUUCUUUGUUUGAGUUGGAGGCAGCAGGUCAACGUUACUGUGAAGAUGAUUGGGAUAAACAGAAAAAUCAACAUCACAGCAUCGUUGACUCAGAUUUAUUGAAAUAUUGUUUCUCAUCUGCAUAUAUGGUGGCACUGUUGCAUGACAGUCUAGGAAUCCCCAUGGAUGAGAAAAGGUAUGGUUGGAUUGCCAACAAGACUGGAAACAUCCUCUUGAUUGGACACUUGGUGCUUUCCUCGUUGAAACAAUGCUGGAGCCCCUUGAAUGGGAACUUGACAAUAUGGGCCAGAUUGUUGGAAAUGAGUCAGUCACUUACUUCUCUUUCUUUGCGUUUCUUUUAAUUGCUCUAUUCGCUGUAUUCUUUGUAUUGCAAUCACGGAAACCACAAUUAAAGACUAUAUACGAUUUAGAGAAGGGACGGUAUAUCAUCACCCGUGUACCUAGGUAAUUACACAUCUUCAUUUUGUUUUAUUUCUUUUUUAAUUUGUUUUUUAAAAGUUCAUUCAAUAGGAAUCUGAAAUCUGUAUUUUUCGAAGCAAUUGUAUUCAACAAUUAAUGAGAGCACCUUACCAACUCUGUGUCUACUUCUUAAGAGUAUUUCUUCCUUAUAAUCAACAUGGGAAAAUAAAAUAUCCAUUUUGUA